rnacentral:siRNA from 1 species
UGGUCUUAAUUGGCCGGGUCG